rnacentral:rRNA from 1 species
AUGAUAGAGAAUCUGACGAGUUUUUUAAGAGGAAAUGUACUAAAAAAAACAACGACCAAGGAUAGUUGUUGGAAACCGCCAGAGGAAAAUUAUGUAAAGAUAAAUAUAGACGGAGCCUUCACAAAGGACACAAAGAAGGGAGGAUGGGGUUUCAUUAUCAGAAACUCUAAAGGAGGAGUAGAAGCAGCAGGGGCAGGGAGAUUGUCAAGACUCUCUGAGGCAAUUCAAGCAGAAACAAUUGCCCUGUUAUAUGCCGUGGAGAGAGCAAGUGAGUUGGGAUGCAGGAAUGUAAUCUUCGAAACGGAUGCAUUGGUGCUGAAACAAGCUAUUGACGGAGACGCCUACGAUAAUUCAGUUUUCGGUGCCCUGUUUCGAGAAGCAAAGUUUAAACUCUUGUACUAUUUUCAGUCUGCUUUUAUCAAUUGGUGUCCCAGGUCCUGUAAUGUAGCUGCCCAUAAGCUAGCGUCAUUUGGCGCGAGUUUGGUUGAGCCAGAUAUAUGUAUGUGGUUGUCAGAUGUACCAAACUUUGUAACUGAAGCGGUUGCCAGCGAUUUUGUUGGCCCGUAUGUGUAA